AAUAAUAUUGUUGUAAGGGUGGGAGAAACAAAUAUAUAUAUAUAUAAGAGUGAGCUGGUAUACAUCUGGAAACACGGAGCCUUCCGUGCUUCCAAAUCGUUUUCGAUGUUAGGACUUUCGACUCGACGAUCGGCUCCGUUAAACUUGAUCUAAAGUAUUUGAAGUAACUAGAAAAUAAAUUUUGUAAUUUUUUAAUAUCAUUUGCCUAGUGAUCGAAGGGGCUCAAAAUCAAUAAUUUUAAAGAUCGUGGUGAGCCGUUUGCAAAUUUAACGGAGUAGAAAUAUUCAAAUCAUAUAAAAUUUUGAUAAAAAAUUCUUUAUACUAUAAAAAACAAGGUCAAUAUUUUUUAUCUAAAAUUUUAAUGUCAUAUUCUCAUAUUUUUUAAGAUUUUUAUUUUCAGCCGUUGAUUUUGAGCCACUUCGAUUACUAGGCAAAUGACAUCAAAAAAUCGCAAAAUUUAUUUUCUAGAUACUUAAAAUACUCUAGGUCAAGUCUAACGGAACUGAUCGUCGAAUCGAAAGUCCCAACAUUGAAAACGAUUUAAAAGCACGGAGCGCUCCGUGCUUCCAGAAGCAUACCAGACGCACUCUCUCUUCUCUCUCUCUAUAUAUAUAUAUA
rnacentral:lncRNA from 1 species